CUACGGGAGGCACCAGUUACGAAACCUCCACAAUGCACGCAAGUGUGAUGGGGGGACUCCAAGUACCAUCUUUGAUGGUUUUUAUUAUGUUUAGAACGCAUAGUGAAUAAGAGGUGGGCAAGACUGGUGCCAGCCGCCGCGGUAACACCAGCGCCUCAAGUCGCAUCCACGUUUAUUGGGUCUAAAGCAUCCGUAGCCUGUUUCUUAAGUCUUUUGUAAAAUUUAUCAGCUUAACUGAUAAUAUGCGAAGGAUACUGGGAAUCUCGGGACCGGUAGGAGUCAGGAGUAUUCUGGGUGGAGCGGUAAAAUGUGAAAAUCCCCGGAAGACUAUCUGUGGCGAAGGCGCCUGACUAGGACGGGUCCGACGGUGAGGGAUGAAAGUUAGGGGAGCGAAAGGGAUUAGAUACCCGUGUAGUC
rnacentral:rRNA from 1 species